CAACAGCUAGAGUUUGAUCCUGGCUCAGGACGAACGCUGGCGGCGCGCCUAACACAUGCAAGUCGAACGGAGCAUUGAGAGCUUGCUUUGAAUGCUUAGUGGCGAACGGGUGAGUAACGCGUGAGUAACCUGCCCUUGAGUGGGGGACAACAGUUGGAAACGACUGCUAAUACCGCAUAAGACCACAGAGCCGCAUGGCUCAGGGGUAAAAGGAUUUAUUCGCUCAAGGAUGGACUCGCGUCCAAUUAGCUAGUUGGUGAGGUAACGGCCCACCAAGGCGACGAUUGGUAGCCGGACUGAGAGGUUGAUCGGCCACAUUGGGACUGAGACACGGCCCAGACUCCUACGGGAGGCAGCAGUGGGGGAUAUUGCACAAUGGGGGAAACCCUGAUGCAGCGACGCCGCGUGAAGGAAGAAGGCCUUCGGGUUGUAAACUUCUGUCGUACGGGACGAUAAUGACGGUACCGUACAAGAAAGCCACGGCUAACUACGUGCC
rnacentral:rRNA from 1 species